CCGAGUCUCGAACUCACCAAACCCCUGUGAACAUACCAGUGUUGCUUCGGCGGUCGACCCCUCCGCCCCCUCCCCCGGGGGGGGCGCGGGGUUCCGCCAGAGGACCCUAUAAACCCUCUGUUUUCUUAGAAAGGAUUCCGCUCUGAGUAACAAAAACAAACCAUUA
rnacentral:misc_RNA from 1 species